rnacentral:rRNA from 1 species
UACGUAGGGUGCGAGCGUUGUCCGGAAUUAUUGGGCGUAAAGAGCUCGUAGGCGGUUUGUCGCGUCUGCUGUGAAAACUGGAGGCUCAACCUCCAGCCUGCAGUGGGUACGGGCAGACUAGAGUGCGGUAGGGGAGAUUGGAAUUCCUGGUGUAGCGGUGAAAUGCGCAGAUAUCAGGAGGAACACCAGCGGCGAAGGCGGCGCCUCUGGGCCGGUACUGACACUGAGGAGCGAAAGCGUGGGUAGCAAACAGG